GGUGAGGUAGCCAAGAUGGUCAAGGCACCGGUCUGAAAAACCGGCUAUGUGAGUUCGAGUCUCACCCUCACCACCA
rnacentral:tRNA from 3 species